ensembl:snRNA U2 U2 spliceosomal RNA
AUCGCUUCUCGGCCUUUUGGCUAAAAUCAAGUGUAAUAUCUGUUCUUAUCAGUUUAAUAUCUGAUAUGUCCUCUAUCCGAGGACAAUAUAUUAAAUGGAUUUUUGUAACUCAGAGUUGGAAUAAGAACUUGUUCCGUCUACUCCAUGAAUUGACCUGGUAUUGCAGUACUUCCAGGAAUGGUGUACCCCCU